GUGACUAGGAGAGCUUAACUGAGCUCACAACCUCAUUCUCUUCUGUGAUCUAUAAAUAUAGAACUCUACUCACCAACUAUGUUCUCUUUUAUGUAGGCAUACCCCCAGCCCCUCAGGAUCUAUGCUCAGAGGAAAAGAGAACUGGAGGCCAACUCAGCAGCCAGUCACUCAGACACUGUGAAGAUAAAAGAAAACAAAAAACAAAAACAGGACAAAUGAUCGGUCACCAAGAUCUACCAUGGGACCGCACUGCCUUGGGGACUAUUGACAAAUGCACAAUGUAAUGGAUAAAAUUCACUAAGAUGGAACACCAUCAUGCAUAAAUGCAGAAAAUGGUGAGUGUUUUCAUUUAUCUUUGACUUUCAGAGAUGGAAGAAACAGUGCUGAGAAGCAUAUGACACCAAAAAAUAAAGACCCUGGAACGUG